AUUAUACUAACAAAGUGGGGUAGUAAAGAUGUAGAAACCCAAAGAAUUUGGCGGCAGUUUAUAUUAUUAGAGGAACUUGUCUCGUAAUUGAUAGUCCUCAUUUUAACUUACUUAGAUAAAUACUUAUAUACCGCCGUCAGCAGGGGAUAUUAUGAGAUUACCCCCGUAAUAUCAGAAGGUAGUAUGUCAGGUCAAGGUGUAGUACAUAUUUAAGAGAGGGUGAGUUACAAAGUAAAAAUAUAAACGGAUAUGACUUGUAAGAGUAUUUGAAGGUGGAUUUAAAAGUAAUAUUAUUGAAAAGUAAUGUGAGUAAGAAUUUAGGCUGUGCACACAUCGCCCGU
rnacentral:rRNA from 1 species